rnacentral:rRNA from 1 species
UACAUGGGGUGCAAACGUUGCUCGGAAUUACUGGGCGUAAAGGGCGCGUAGGCGGGAUGGCAAGUCGGUCGUGAAAUCCCUCGGCUCAACCGAGGAACGUCGAUCGAUACUGCUGUUCUUGAGGAUUGCAGAGGAGACUGGAAUUCCCGGUGUAGCGGUGAAAUGUGUAGAUAUGCGGAGGAACACCGAUGGCGAAGGCAAUCCCCUGGGCCUGCACUGACGCUCAUGCACGAAAGCGUGGGGAGCAAACAGG